AGGCUGACUGUGCUGUCCUCAUUGUUGCUGCUGGUGUUGGUGAAUUUGAAGCUGGUAUUUCCAAGAACGGGCAGACCCGUGAGCAUGCUCUCCUGGCUUACACACUGGGUGUGAAGCAACUAAUUGUUGGCGUUAACAAAAUGGAUUCCACUGAGCCACCUUACAGUCAGAAGAGAUACGAAGAAAUUGUUAAGGAAGUCAGCACUUACAUUAAGAAAAUUGGCUACAAUCCUGACACAGUAGCAUUUGUGCCAAUUUCUGGUUGGAAUGGUGACAACAUGCUGGAGCCAAGUGCUAACAUGCCUUGGUUCAAGGGGUGGAAAGUCACCCGUAAAGAUGGUAAUGCCAGUGGAACCACGCUGCUUGAAGCACUGGACUGCAUCCUGCCACCAACUCGUCCAACUGACAAGCCCCUGCGUCUGCCUCUCCAGGAUGUCUACAAGAUUGGUGGUAUUGGGACUGUCCCUGUGGGCCGAGUGGAGACUGGUGUCCUCAAACCUGGCAUGGUGGUCACCUUUGCUCCAGUCAACGUUACAACUGAAGUGAAGUCUGUUGAAAUGCACCAUGAAGCUUUGAGUGAAGCCCUUCCUGGGGACAACGUGGGCUUCAAUGUCAAAAAUGUGUCUGUCAAAGAUGUUCGCCGUGGCAAUGUUGCUGGUGACAGCAAAAAUGAUCCACCAAUGGAAGCAGCUGGCUUCACCGCUCAGGUGAUUAUCCUGAACCAUCCAGGCCAAAUCAGUGCUGGCUAUGCCCCUGUACUGGAUUGUCACACAGCUCACAUUGCAUGCAAGUUUGCUGAGCUGAAGGAAAAGAUUGAUCGCCGU